rnacentral:rRNA from 1 species
UACAGAGACUGCAAGCGUUAUUCGGAUUCACUGGGCGUAAAGGGUGCGCAGGCGGCCGUGUGUGUGAGGCGUGAAAGCCCGGGGCUCAACCCCGGAAUUGCACCUCAAACUACAUGGCUAGAGCAUUGGAGAGGGUAGCGGAAUUCACGGUGUAGCAGUGAAAUGCGCAGAUAUCAGGAAGAACACCCGUGGCUAAGGCGGCUCUCUAGUACGGUACUGACGCUGAGGAGCGAAAGCAUGGGGAGCGAACAGG